GAUGAACGCUAGCGAUAGGCUUAACACAUGCAAGUCGAGGGGCAGCACGGAAUAGCAAUAUUUUGGUGGCGACCGGCGCACGGGUGAGUAACACGUAGGCAAUCUACCCAUAACUGUGGAAUAACCCAUCGAAAGGCGGCCUAAUACCGCAUAACAACAGUUGACUGCAUGGUUUACUGUUUAAAGAUUUAUCGGUUAUGGAGGGGCAUGCGUUCCAUUAGGUAGUUGGCGGGGCAACGGCCAACCAAGCCUGCGAUGGAUAGGGGUUCUGAGAGGAAGGUCCCCGACACUGGUACUGAGACACGGACCAGACUCCUACGGGAGGCAGCAGUGAGGAAUAUUGGUCAAUGGGCGAGAGCCUGAACCAGCCAAAUCGCGUGAAGGAUGAAGGUAUUAUGUAUUGUAAACUUCUUUUACAGGGGAAUAAAGUGCGGGACGUGUCCCGUUUUGUAUGUACCCUGGGAAUAAGGAUCGGCUAACUCCGUGCCAGCCGCCGCUGUAA
rnacentral:rRNA from 1 species